rnacentral:rRNA from 1 species
UAGUAACGGCGAGUGAAGAGGAAAGAGCUCAAAGUUGGAACCUGUUUGGCUUAGCUAAACCGGAUUGUAAACUGUAGAAGUGUUUUCCAGACACGCCUGGUAAAAAAGUCCUUUGGAACAGGGCAUCAUAGAGGGUGAGAAUCCCGUCAUUGGCCAGAGCUGUUGUCUUUUGUGAUACAUUUUCAAAGAGUCAGGUUGUUUGGGAAUGCAGCCUAAAUUGGGUGGUAAAUCUCACCUAAAGCUAAAUAUUUGCGAGAGACCGAUAGCGAACAAGUACCGUGAGGGAAAGAUGAAAAGAACUUUGAAAAGAGAGUUAAACAGUAUGUGAAAUUGUUAAAAGGGAACCGUUUGGAGCCAGACUGGCUUGAUCGUAAUCACUCUAGGCUUUGGCCUGGAUGCACUUGCGGUCUAUGCCGGCCAACGACAGUUUUGUUUGAGGGAAAAAAUUACAUUGAAUGUGGCCCCUCGGGGUGUUAUAGCUUUGUAAAAAAUACCUUGGACGGGACUGAGGAACGCAGCGAAUGCCUUUAGGCGAGAUUGCUGGGUGCUUGCGCUGAUACAUGCUAGAAUUUCUGCUUUGGGUGGUGCUAGUGUGUAAAGGAGUAACCCGCUUAGUAUAUUUUUUAUUCGCUUAGGUUGUUGGCUUAAUGACUCUAAAUGACCCGUCUUGAAACACGGACCAAGGAGUCCACCAUUAGUGCAAGUAUUUGGGUGACAAACCCAUAUGCGCAAGGAAACUGAUUGAUACGAAGGCGCAAGCUGGCAGUAUCACCCGGCGUUGACGUUUUAUACUGAACUGACCGAGGUAAAGCACUAAUGAUGGGACCCGAAAGAUGGUGAACUAUGCCUGAAUAGGGUGAAGCCGGAGGAAACUCCGGUGGAGGCUCGUAGCGAUUCUGACGUGCAAAUCGAUCGUCAAAUUUGGGUAUAGGGGCGAAAGACUA